rnacentral:snRNA from 1 species
GUGCUUGCUUCGGCGGCACAUAUACCAAAAUUGGAACAAUACAGAGAAGAUUAGCAUGGCCUCUGCGCAAGGAUGACAUGCAAAUUCGUGAAAUGUUCCAUAUAUGU